rnacentral:rRNA from 1 species
AUGCGGACGAGUGGUGCUGAUGGUUUCGGUGCGGCUGCUCCUGCUUGUAUCGCCACCACGACGGCGGUCGCCGCCGAGCACUUGCCUAAGGUCAUCAGAAGCCAGGAAAGCGAUCUGCCGCUGGAUCCGGAUCUUGACUCCAGACUCCCGCAACACGAGUUCGACUCUGAGUUUUACGCCACCGAGAAGUACCAAAAGCUGAGUUGUGUGCACGGGCACACUCCCGCUCGACGUGUAUGCACGGAGGGAUUCGACAUUGGCAGGCAGUUUCUCAGUGCCCCUUAG